GGUUGUGGCUCAGUGGUAGAGUGCUUGUCUAGCACGUGUGAGGCAGUGGGUUGGAUCCCCAUAACCA
rnacentral:tRNA from 1 species